AGUUCAGUGGUAGAACACCACCUUGCCAAGGUGGGGGUCGCGGGUUCGAAUCCCGUACGGA
rnacentral:tRNA from 5 species